AGUGAACGCUGGCGGUAGGCCUAACACAUGCAAGUCGAACGGCAGCACAGUAAGAGCUAGCUCUUACGGGUGGCGAGUGGCGGACGGAUGAGGAAUACAUCGGAAUCUACUUUUUCGUGGGGGAUAACGUAGGGAAACUUACGCUAAUACCGCAUACGACCUACGGGUGAAAGCAGGGGAUCUUCGGACCUUGCGCGAUUGAAUGAGCCGAUGUCGGAUUAGCUAGUUGGCGGGGUAAAGGCCCACCAAGGCGACGAUCCGUAGCUGGUCUGAGAGGAUGAUCAGCCACACUGGAACUGAGACACGGUCCAGACUCCUACGGGAGGCAGCAGUGGGGAAUAUUGGACAAUGGGCGCAAGCCUGAUCCAGCCAUACCGCGUGGGUGAAGAAGGCCUUCGGGUUGUAAAGCCCUUUUGUUGGGAAAGAAAAGCAGCAGGUUAAUACCCCGCUGUUCUGACGGUACCCAAAGAAUAAGCACCGGCUAACUUCGUG
rnacentral:rRNA from 1 species